rnacentral:lncRNA from 1 species
UUGGUUUUUUGAGUUAUAAGCCAAAAACUGCAUUUUACCCCUAUGUUCUAUGUUUAGCCAUGGCGGCCAUCUUGGUUGAAUGGCCGGGUCACCGGACACAUUUUUUUAAAACAAGAUACCCCAAAGAUGAUUGUGGCCAAGUUUGGAUUAAUUUGGCCCAGUAGUUUCAGAGGAGAAGAUUUUUGUAAAAGAUUACUAAGAUUUACGAAAAAUGGUUAAAAAUUGACUAUAAAGGGCAAUAACUCCUAAAG